CCUUUUUUGGUAUAAUAAUUGGUGCAUAAGUUUUAAGGGCGGUGGCUAAGGAAUACCCGUAAGGUGGUGGUUCUAUGGGAACAUGGAACAAAUACUGUAAAGGAACUUUAGUCGAUGACUGUUUAUCAGGCAUUGUCGCUGAUGUUGACGUUCGGUCUGUUGAUCGCUGCGCUCAACAAAAACGA
rnacentral:sRNA from 1 species